UCAAGUUAUUAAGGGUGCAGGGCGGAUGCCUUGGCACUAGGAGCCGAUGAAGGACGUGAUAAGCUGCGAUAAGCUUCGGGGAGUUGCACGUAAACUUUGAUCCGAAGAUUUCCGAAUGAGGAAACUCACUUAGAGUAAUGUCUAAGUAUCAUUAAGUGAAUACAUAGCUUAAUGAGGGGAACUCAGGGAACUGAAACAUCUAAGUACCUGAAGGAAGAGAAAGAAAUUCGAUUCCGUAAGUAGCGGCGAGCGAACGCGGAUUAGCCCAAACCAAUAAAGUUUUCUUUAUUGGGGUUGCGGACAUAUCAUAACGAAGAGGUAUCGUAAUUGAAGAGGUUUGGAAAGACCUACCACAGAAGGUAAUAGUCCUGUAUGUUAAACGAGAAGACUUUAGAUAUGAUCCAGAGUACCACGGGACACGUGAAACCCUGUGGGAAGCAGGAGGGACCACCCUCCAAGGCUAAAUACUACCUAGUGACCGAUAGCGUAUAGUACCGUGAGGGAAAGGUGAAAAGAACCCCGGGAGGGGAGUGAAAUAGAACCUGAAACCCUGCACUUACAAGCUGUGGAAGCACAUUUCUUGUGUGACCGCGUACUUUUUGUAGAACGGGCCAACGAGUUACGUUAAGUAGCAAGGUUAAGCACUUAAGGUGCGGAGCCGUAGCGAAAGCGAGUUUUAACUGAGCGUUCAGUUACUUGACGUAGACCCGAAACCGGGCGACCUACCCAUGAGCAGGAUGAAGCGAAAGUAAAAUUUCGUGGAGGUCCGAACCCACGAGCGUUGAAAAGCUCGGGGAUGACUUGUGGGUAGCGGUGAAAUUCCAAUCGAGCCCGGAGAUAGCUGGUUCUCCCCGAAAUAGCUUUAGGGCUAGCCUCAAGGUGAGAGAUACGGAGGUAGAGCACUGAAUGUCCUAGGGGGUAUUGCACCUACCGAAGACUAUCAAACUCCGAAUGCCGUCAUCUUAUACUUGGGAGUCAGACUGUGGGUGAUAAGAUUCAUAGUCGAAAGGGCAACAGCCCAGAUCGUCAGCUAAGGUCCCUAAAUGUAAGUUAAGUGGUAAAGGAUGUGGGAUUGCACAGACAACCAGGAUGUUGGCUUAGAAGCAGCCACUCAUUCAAAGAGUGCGUAAUAGCUCACUGGUCGAGUGAUCCUGCGCCGAAGAUUUCCGGGGCUAAAACUUACUACCGAAGCUACGGCAUCAGUAAUGAUGGGUAGGGGAGCUUCCCAUACGGGUUGAAGCAUGACCGUAAGGACAUGUGGACAGUAUGGGAGUGAGAAUGUUGGCAUGAGUAGCGAGAUGUGGGUGAGAAUCCCACAGGCCGUAAACCCAAGGUUUCCAGGGGAAGGUUCGUCCGCCCUGGGUUAGUCGGGACCUAAGCUGAGGCCGAAAGGCGUAGGUGAUGGACAACAGGUUGAUAUUCCUGUACUACCGAUAACCGUUUGAGAGAAGGGAUGACACAGUAGGAUAAGCUAAGCACACUGUUGGUUAUGUGUGCCCAAGCAUUGAGGCAGUCAAAGUAGGCAAAUCCGCUUUGAUAAUGCUGGGAUGUGAUGGGGAGCGAAAUUUAGUAGCGAAGUAGCUGAUUUCACACUGUCAAGAAAAGUCUCUAUCGAGGUUAAAGGUACCCGUACCGCAAACCGACACAGGUGGGUGAGGAGAGUAUCCUAAGGCCAGCGAGAGAACUGUUGUUAAGGAACUCGGCAAAAUGACCCCGUAACUUAGGGAUAAGGGGUGCCACCAUCAGGUGGCCGCAGAGAAUAGGCCCAAGCGACUGUUUACCAAAAACAUAGGUUUCUGCUAAGUCGCAAGACGAUGUAUAGGAGCUGACGCCUGCCCGGUGCUGGAAGGUUAAGGGGAUCUGUUAGAGCAAUCGAAGCAGUGAACUUAAGCCCCAGUAAACGGCGGCCGUAACUAUAACGGUCCUAAGGUAGCGAAAUUCCUUGUCGGGUAAGUUCCGACCCGCACGAAAGGCGUAACGAUUUGGGCACUGUCUCAACAACAGACUCGGUGAAAUUGUAAUUCCGGUGAAGAUGCCGGAUACCUGCGACAGGACGGAAAGACCCCAUGGAGCUUUACUGUAGCUUGACAUUGGGUCUUGGUACUACAUGUACAGGAUAGGUGGGAGGCUUUGAAACCAGGACGCCAGUUUUGGCGGAGCCAUCCUUGGGAUACCACCCUUGUAGUACUGGGACUCUAACCAUAGGCCAUGAAUCUGGUCUUGGGACACUGUCAGGUGGGCAGUUUGACUGGGGCGGUCGCCUCCCAAAAGGUAACGGAGGCGCUCAAAGGUUCUCUCAGUACGGUCGGAAAUCGUACGUAGAGUGUAAAGGCAAAAGAGAGCUUGAUUGCAAGACAUACAGGUCGAGCAAGGAUGAAAAUCGGACUUAGUGAUCCGGUGGUUCUGCGUGGAAGGGCCAUCGCUCAACGGAUAAAAGCUACCCUGGGGAUAACAGGCUUAUCUCCCCCAAGAGUCCACAUCGACGGGGAGGUUUGGCACCUCGAUGUCGGCUCAUCACAUCCUGGGGCUGUAGUAGGUCCCAAGGGUUGGGCUGUUCGCCCAUUAAAGUGGUACGCGAGCUGGGUUCAGAACGUCGUGAGACAGUUCGGUCCCUAUCCGUCGCAGGCGUAGGAAAUUUGAGAAGACCUGUCCUUAGUACGAGAGGACCGGGAUGGACGUACCUCUGGUGUACCAGUUGUCCUGCCAAGGGCAUGGCUGGGUAGCUAUGUACGGAAUGGAUAAGCGCUGAAAGCAUCUAAGCGCGAAGCCAACUUCAAGAUAAGAUUUCCCACCGCAAGGGUAAGACCCCAGAAAGACUAUCUGGUUGAUAGGUCGAAGGUGUAAGUGCAGCAAUGUAUUUAGCUUAUCGAUACUAAUAGGUCGAGGACUUGACCAA
rnacentral:rRNA from 1 species